rnacentral:misc_RNA from 1 species
AAGUCGUAACAAGGUUUCCGUAGGUGAACCUGCGGAAGGAUCAUUAGUAGGGAGCGUGGGGCCUUGCGGGGUUCUGCCGACCUUGUGCUGUGUGAGUGUGAGUGUGUGUGAUGUGGGUGCUGCUGUUGGCAGUGCCCACACACAUCCCGCCAUUACCGACCCAUAUAUACACUGUUGUCUAAUCACCUCGCAUCCACACUCGGGUGCACAACCAUCGAAAACUGCCAGCAAUGGAUCACUCGGUUCUC